UACGGGGGGGGCAAGCGUUGUUCGGAAUUACUGGGCGGAAAGGGCUCGUAGGCGGCCAACUAAGUCAGACGUGAAAUCCCUCGGCUUAACCGGGGAACUGCGUCUGAUACUGGAUGGCUUGAAUCCGGGAGAGGGAUGCGGAAUUCCAGGUGUAGCGGUGAAAUGCGUAGAUAUCUGGAGGAACACCGGUGGCGAAGGCGGCAUCCUGGACCGGCAUUGACGCUGAGGAGCGAAAGCCAGGGGAGCAAACGGG
rnacentral:rRNA from 1 species